rnacentral:lncRNA from 1 species
GAAGUAGGAUACUCUGGCAUAAGGUACCUGCACUGCAGGUGAAGUAGAAUACUGUUCUUUGAAGGCAGACUUGGAUUAAUUAUAAAUGUGUCUGCAAACUUUGUCAACCAUUAAGAUUUCUUUUAAAAGAAAUGUUAUUGAUAUGUUGAGAUAAAAUGGAAUUAUAUAAAAUGUUCUGUUAAUACCAGAGAAGGCAGAAAAAAAGAUGAAAAAAGAAACGAAGAACAAAUAUAAUGAAUAGAAAACAGUUACGAACAUGGUAAAUAAAUUUCCAUUAUACAUCUUUGGUUAAAGUAAAAUGUUUAGGACAUGUGCACACCAUUUCCUGUUUUGGCGGUCUUUUUCAUUACCAUCCAGCUCUCAGUUCCAAAAAGGUCAGACGUGAAGCACUUACAGAGUUUGUGGGACACAGAGCAAGAGUGCCCUCAGGGUGGGUUCUCUUUCUCCUUUGUGCAAUUGACUUGAAUUGGAACUCACAGAAUGUUAGACUGGAGGAAACCAUGGACCAAUUUUGGGAAAGAGUUUUUUCUGCCAGAAGGAGCCUAUGCUGACUGCUCUGCUCAUUUCUCUGCCCCAUAGAGCCCUCAGGAAAGAUGUCUCACUCAGAAUUUUCUGAUAAGCUAAUGCAAGUAACAAUGACGAUAAACCCUUGGGGAAAUAAUCACAUGAUUUAUAUCCUGGAAUUCCAUGACACCAUCAACUCAUGAGAAUAACAAGCAAGUUCUGGCUCCCUGCCUCCCCCACUGGAAUAGUCUAAUUUCCAGGGAUUCCAAGAAUGUCUGUCAAGCAAAAAAUAAGAUCUGCCUUUAUUUUCCACACUCAACAAAUGCCUUCAGAGAUCCAUCAAAUGUUCAUCAUUAUAAACUAUCAUCGACAUGAAUCCAAUUGGUCUGGCCAGGAAAAAUCAGAAAGUUUCAAGGCAAGGUGGAGAAAGAAAUGGGCAUCAUACGUUUGGCGAAGACGCUUCAGAGGUGACCUGAAUGGGAUGAAGGGCAGGCUCUGGACCCACCUCUGCUUUUACCAGAGUAGCGCUGAUUUAUACGUUUGA